AACGAACGCUGGCGGCAUGCCUAACACAUGCAAGUCGAACGAGACCUUCGGGUCUAGUGGCGCACGGGUGCGUAACGCGUGGGAACCUGCCCUUAGGUUCGGAAGAACUCCCCGAAAGGGGUGCUAAUACCGGAUAAUGUCUUCGGACCAAAGAUUUAUCGCCUUUGGAUGGGCCCGCGUUGGAUUAGCUUGUUGGUAGGGUAAAAGCCUAUCAAGGCGACGAUCCAUAGCUGGUCUGAGAGGAUGAUCAGCCACACUGGGACUGAGACACGGCCCAGACUCCUACGGGAGGCAGCAGUGGGGAAUAUUGGACAACGGGCGAAAGCCUGAUCCAGCAAUGCCGCGUGAGUGAUGAAGGCCUUAGGGUUGUAAAGCUCUUUUACCCGGGAUGAUAAUGACAGUACCGGGAGAAUAAGCUCCGGCUAACUCCGUG
rnacentral:rRNA from 1 species